rnacentral:rRNA from 1 species
UACGGGGGGAGCAAGCGUUGUUCGGAUUUACUGGGCGUAAAGGGCGCGUAGGCGGCCAGCACAAGUCAGUUGUGAAAUCUCCGAGCUUAACUCGGAACGGUCAACUGAUACUGUGCGGCUAGAGUGCGGAAGGGGCAACUGGAAUUCUUGGUGUAGCGGUGAAAUGCGCAGAUAUCAGGAGGAACACCGAUGGCGAAGGCAGCUCGCUGGGACGGUACUGACGCUGAGGCGCGAAAGCGUGGGGAGCAAACAGG